rnacentral:rRNA from 1 species
UACAGAGGGGGCGAGCGUUAUUCGGAAUUAUUGGGCGUAAAGGGCGCGUAGGCGGCUUUUCAAGUGACGGGUGAAAUCCCUCGGCUAAACCGAGGAACUGCCUGUCAGACUGGAAGGCUUGAGACCGGGAGAGGUGAGUGGAAUUCCCAGUGUAGCGGUGAAAUGCGUAGAUAUUGGGAGGAACACCAGUGGCGAAGGCGGCUCACUGGACCGGAACUGACGCUGAGGCGCGAAAGCGUGGGGAGCAAACAGG